rnacentral:rRNA from 1 species
ACCCUUGACAUCCUCGGAACUUGUCAGAAAUGACUUGGUGCCUUUAGGAACCGAGUGACAGGUGCUGCAUGGCUGUCGUCAGCUCGUGUCGUGAGAUGUUGGGUUAAGUCCCGUAACGAGCGCAACCCUCGUCCUUAGUUGCCAGCGGUUCGGCCGGGAACUCUAAGGAGACUGCCGGUGAUAAACCGGAGGAAGGUGAGGAUGAUGUCAAGUCAUCAUGGCCCUUACGGGUAGGGCUACACACGUGCUACAAUGGGCAGUACAAAGGGUUGCUAAACCGUGAGGUAAAGCUAAUCCCAAAAAGCUGCUCGUAGUCCGGAUUGGAGUCUGCAACUCGACUCCAUGAAGCUGGAAUCGCUAGUAAUCGCGAAUCAGAAUGUCGCGGUGAAUACGUUCUCGGGCCUUGUACACACCGCCCGUCACACCAUGGGAGUGAAUUGUACCAGAAGCGGGUAGG